GUUUAGCUUGAAGCUAACAUUUAUAAAUUACGAUUGAAAAGUGAACCCCUUUUUCUCCUCUAACAGACUAUUUAACCCUAAUUAAUAUGUGGCUGUGUAACUUUACAAACGCACUUUGUAGGAACUAGGUUAGCAACCAGAACCACAGCUGGCCCAAAAGAACUCAAAGCCCGACAUCCUGAUGGCUCUCAGUACCGCGGGGCUGAUGCUAGCAGCUAGCAGCUAGCAGCGAGGAGGGCCAGGUUUCACCUUAUUUCAGGUUGUUUUUGACCGAGAAAGUUUUUUUUAAAAUCUGAAACAGAAUAAGUCUGAUUACAUGCAAAUACUUCUUGACCUUAUUUAAAUGUGGUUCCUGAGCAGAACCGGGUCCAACUCGUCUGACCUGCAGGAGGCAGAAAGGGGAACAAAACGGGAACCUCAACUUCCCAAAACUCAUUAACGUGACGUCAUUUCCCCCGGAAAACCGGGAAGUCCCCUGACAGGGAGACCGGGUCCGUCACACCUGGACCCGACCUGAAGCUGCAGCAGCUCCUUCUCUCCGAGACAAACAGAGCAGGACCUCAGGAAUGGACCGGGUCGGCGGACAGGAAUCCCGGCAGGUUUCCGCAUGAAUCACCUCGGAUGAGCAGCUUCUACCUGUUCCCUCCCAGCAGCUCACCUGGGCCACAGCCUCUGCUUGGACAUGACCGACUCUGCAUCUCCUUUCAUCAGGUUUCUACGCUCGUCGUCUUCGUCCACCCAGGCAGCUUUCCUGGGCUGCGGCUGCUGACGAGGCUCUUCCUCCCCAUCUGAGUCUUCAUCCCCUCUGCCCUCCUCAUCCUCCAGCUGCAGGCCACUGGUCUGCUCCUCUUCAUCCUCC